GAUUAUGGCUCAGAACGAAUGCUGGUGGCGUGUCUUAUACAUGCAAGUCGAGCGGUCCGCAAGGAUAGCGGCGAACGGGUGAGUAACGCGUAAGCAAUCUCGCCCCGCAUAUUGGGAUACGCCGUGCCAACGCGCGGAUAAUACCGAAUAACGUGGCCCCGGACAUCCGGGGUUGACGAAAGAUUCAUCGAUGCGGGAUGAGCUUGCGUCCGAUUAGCUAGUUGGCGGGCAACGGCCCACCAAGGCGACGAUCGGUAGCCGGCCUGAGAGGGUGAUCGGCCACAUUGGGACUGAGAUACGGCCCAGACUCCUACGGGAGGCAGCAGUAGGGAAUAUUGCACAAUGGGGGAAACCCUGAUGCAGCAACGCCAACGUGUGGGAAGAAGCAUUUCGGUGUGUAAACCACUGUCGUGAGGGAAUAAUACGCGUCUUCGGGCGCGGGAGAAUGUACCUCGAAAGGAAGCACCGGCAAACUUCGUGCCAGCCGCGGC
rnacentral:rRNA from 1 species